rnacentral:rRNA from 1 species
GACGAACGCUGGCGGCGUGCUUAACACAUGCAAGUCGAGCGGUAAGGCCCUUUCGGGGGUACACGAGCGGCGAACGGGUGAGUAACACGUGGGUGACCUGCCCUCAGCUCUGGGAUAAGCCUGGGAAACCGGGUCUAAUACCGGAUAUGACUCCAUGACGCAUGUUGUGGGGUGGAAAGCCUUGUGCGGCUGAGGAUGGGCCCGCGGCCUAUCAGCUUGUUGGUGGGGGAUGGCCUACCAAGGCGACGACGGGUAGCCGGCCUGAGAGGGCGACCGGCCACACUGGGACUGAGACACGGCCCAGGACUCCUACGGGAGGGCAGCUAGUGGGGAAUCUUGCGCAAUGGGCGAAAGCCUGACGCAGCGACGCCGCGUGAGGGAUG